GAAAGGAAAAAAAUAAAAUAAGUACUCCAAGAGCUAAAGCUGAUCUUUUAUAAAUUAGAAACCAAAAGUUCAAAUAUGUACACAGUAUUUCAACCAUUUCUGAUACACUUGUUUAAUUCAUUUAUUUAUUCAUUUGUUUUUGCCCAGUUCAACAUCAAAACAGAGACAGGGACUGUACAUUUGGCUAGGUGAGUUUGAUGAGCACACACCUCCAACAGGAAUAAAGAGGAGGAAUAAUACCUUGCCGUUACACUACUUUUCACGUGGCCCACUAAUACUGUUGAAAUGCCAGGCCUGACUACAGAUUUUGAGAAUUGAAAUGGAUGGGUGUGCUGAACAAACAGGCCAUGAGUAUGGAUGCGUGUUUUGGAUAAAGUUUAGAGCUCUUUAUGGGUGUGAAGUCUUGUUCGAAGCAACAGAAUAAUCGGAUCAUUCUUAGCGUCCCAACCAGUUGGUGAACUGUUGGGAUUGGAUUUCAGUUACUCGAUCUGGUCACCACAUUUUACAUGCACCGUGACGAGAUAAUGGAAAACAAGCGGCCAAAUGGGCGUUUUCUCUUUCUGUGUCAAAUAUGAAAGCAGAACAGUGUCCGCUAAUGAAUGUCUUGCAAUGAAUCACAAGGACAGAGGAUUUUUUGUAUUGUAUCCUUUGCUUUUAUACGUCGAUUAAGACCCGAGGGGAACGCAUCAAUCAUCACAGCUCUGUUUUUAACAUACAAACAGCUUCUGGAUCCCUUUCUCCCAUGCAAAGGUCUGUACUUAAACUAAAGACUUCUGAAUGAUUAUGUGGAACGUGCGUACAAGUGCUUAGGACUUAUGAUGGGCAGAAACACGUGAUCGAGUAAGAAUGAGUUUCUCAUGUGAGAGAAAAAAAAAACAUUUCUAGAAAGUGAUUUGUGCUCUGUAAGAGUAAUGUGUGUGUUUGCCAUUUCAGUUUUGAGUCUGGCCAUGCUUGUUCUCUUGACACCACAAGCUCCAUUAACCUGAUGUGCUGACGGGGACGACGGCCCAGGUUUGACGGCAGAGGAGGCACUGUGGAGUAGAUUUGCUAUUUGGCACUUCAUUAAAAGGAGAGAUGGUCCGCCAUGUGAAGCAGAUCGCCCUGGCCAGUUAACAGUCAUGUAUCUCUGCUGUAAAGCAGCGUGUGUCAUGGGGGAGGAGAAGAGGUCUAAGGACGAUGAUCUCUCGCUCAUGGAAGUGGAGUGUGAUUUUUGAUAAUGAGACACUGUGGCUUUAUCCUUAAGCUUCAGAUGGCUGACAACUCUUAGGCUCAUUGGUAGGAUGAUGUAUAAUGAACGUUGGACAGCACUAUGAGAUGUAAUCAAGCUGUUUUAAAUAGAUGUGCCAAUGAAUUAUAUAGUCAUUCAACAUUUUUAGAGGUAAUUAUGUAAUCAGUAAUUAUAACUGAACCCGAUAACAUUGAUUGCAUUUACAUUACAAUCAGCAUUCUGGAUGCUUAUACAAUGUGCAUACAUUUUGGCGCCAAAACUUGAUGAGUUAAACAAAAUUGAUCUCAUUAAGAAAUUUUUUUUUGUCAGGAUUUUAUAAGAAAACAUUUUUGAUAAUUGCAUUUGUGAGCAGUUUGCCAUGUAAAUGCACUCAGUGAUGCCGUUAUUAAGCUAACUGGCCAAUUUUUGCUGUAGGUAGAUGGUAAAUUGAUGUAAGAUGU